CGAGCAGUAACUCAGUGAUAGAGCUUCCGCAUCAUAUGUGGAAGGACUUGGGUUCGAUUCCCGGCUGCUUCC
rnacentral:tRNA from 1 species